CAUGGGGUGCAAACGUUGCUCGGAAUUAUUGGGCGUAAAGCGCGCGUAGGCGGUUACUUAAGUCGGAUGUGAAAGCCCUUGGCUUAACUGAGGAAGUGCAUCCGAAACUGAGUAGCUUGAGUACGAGAGGGCCGCGGAAUUCCCGGCGUAGAGGUGAAAUUCGUAGAUAUCGGGAGGAACACCGGUGGCGAAGGCGGCGGCCUGGGUCGAGACUGACGCUGAGGCGCGAAAGCGUGGGGAGCAAACAGGAUUAGAUACCCUGGUAGUCCACGCCGUAAACGAUGGGUGCUAGAUGUUGCUGGUAUUGACCCCGGCAGUGUCGUAGCUAACGCGUUAAGCACCCCGCCUGGGGAGUACGGCCGCAAGGCUA
rnacentral:rRNA from 1 species